UACGAAGGGGGCUAGCGUUGCUCGGAAUCACUGGGCGUAAAGGGUGCGUAGGCGGGUCUUUUAAGUCAGGGGUGAAAUCCUGGAGCUCAACUCCAGAACUGCCUUUGAUACUGAAGAUCUUGAGUUCGGGAGAGGUGAGUGGAACUGCGAGUGUAGAGGUGAAAUUCGUAGAUAUUCGCAAGAACACCAGUGGCGAAGGCGGCUCACUGGCCCAUAACUGACGCUGAGGCACGAAAGCGUGGGGAGCAAACAGG
rnacentral:rRNA from 1 species